rnacentral:rRNA from 1 species
UAUAACUGACAUACCAUACAAUUCAUCCAGUUAAAGUGUACAGUUCAGUUGGGCCUGGUUAGUACUUGGAUGGGAGACCACCUAGGAAUACCAGGUGCUGUAGGCA